rnacentral:rRNA from 1 species
GAUGAACGCUGGCGGCGUGCCUAAUACAUGCAAGUCGAGCGAACAGACGAGGAGCUUGCUCCUUUGACGUUAGCGGCGGACGGGUGAGUAACACGUAGGUAACCUACCUAUAAGACUGGGAUAACUUCGGGAAACCGGAGCUAAUACCGGAUAAUAUUUCGAACCGCAUGGUUCGAUAGUGAAAGAUGGCUUUGCUAUCACUUAUAGAUGGACCUGCGCCGUAUUAGCUAGUUGGUAAGGUAACGGCUUACCAAGGCAACGAUACGUAGCCGACCUGAGAGGGUGAUCGGCCACACUGGAACUGAGACACGGUCCAGACUCCUACGGGAGGCAGCAGUAGGGAAUCUUCCGCAAUGGGCGAAAGCCUGACGGAGCAACGCCGCGUGAGUGAUGAAGGUCUUCGGAUCGUAAAACUCUGUUAUUAGGAAAGAACAAACGUGUAAGUAACUGUGCACGUCUUGACGGUACCUAAUCAGAAAGCCACGGCUAACUACGUG